GGAUGAGGAGCACUUUGGUGCCGGGGAAGGCUUUUCUCAGCAUGGGACACUCAGCAGACACUUGUGAAAUGAGCAAGCCACCAUCUGGCCCUGGGGACACUGGCUCACUUCUGGAGGUGACCGGAGAGUGUAUCCAGCUGAGAUGAGGCUGGAAAAACACCAUAACGCAAGUGCCCUCAGAUGAAGCAAGUGGUGAUGCCACGUGGCUGUGGGGUCAACAGUCUGGCUGGAGGAUCCCAGAUCUCGGACUUCAUCUGCAGUUUGGCUCUUCCUGGUUCUGCUCCACUGGAACAUCGGGUCUCCCGGGUCUCCAGCCUGCCAGCCUACCCUGGAAGUUUUGGACAUGCCAGCCUCCAUAAUCAUGAG
rnacentral:lncRNA from 1 species